UACAGAGGUCCCAAGCGUUGUUCGGAUUCACUGGGCGUAAAGGGUGCGUAGGCGGUCGGGUAAGUCUGGUGUGAAAUCUCGCAGCUUAACUGUGAAACUGCAUUGGAUACUAUCCGGCUCGAGGAAUGGAGGGGAGACUGGAAUACUUGGUGUAGCAGUGAAAUGCGUAGAUAUCAAGUGGAACACCAGUGGCGAAGGCGAGUCUCUGGACAUUUCCUGACGCUGAGGCACGAAAGCCAGGGGAGCAAACGGG
rnacentral:rRNA from 1 species